rnacentral:rRNA from 1 species
CUUGCUUUCUUUGCUGGCGACCGGCGCACGGGUGAGUAACACGUAUCCAACCUGCCCUUUACUCGGGGAUAGCCUUUCGAAAGAAAGGUUAAUACCCGAUAGCAUAAUGAUUCCGCAUGGUUUCAUUAUUAAAGGAUUCCGGUAAAGGAUGGGGAUGCGUUCCAUUAGGUUGUUGGUGAGGUAACGGCCCACCAAGCCUUCGAUGGAUAGGGGUUCUGAGAGGAAGGUCCCCCACAUUGGAACUGAGACACGGUCCAA